UUGCAGGGGGUGGUAAUUAUGUUUUUAUUUAUUUUAUUUUUAUAAGAAGUUCUGGGGAUUGAACCCAGGCCCUUGUGCAUGCUAAGAAUAUGAUCUUUCACUUGAGCUAUACCCCCCUAAAUUAUCUUUAAUAAGGUCUUUUUCUCUGUUUUGUUAUUUUCUUUUAUGUACAGAUGCACAAAGCAGGGUCAUCAGAAGCCUCUCAAUUCCAAAGAUGAUUAUAGUGAAAAACAUUGCACAGUGACAGUGAAUCCUUGGAAUAUGAAGAAAGAUUGUAAAGUCCUGAAUGAAUUAAGAAGGAAUUGUUACAUUAACUUACAUAGAAAACUUGAGCCUAUGAAUCUAAACUCAUCUGUGAUGGUCUGCAGCUGGGAGCAAGCAGAUCAGUGUCAGUCCCUUUGCAGCCGUUGGCUGGGAGCCUGCAUGUUCCCUGGAAUGAUAUUUGAAACAUGUCACCCUAGCCGUGCCUUUGCUCUGGACUGGGAGGCGAGUCAGUCAGAAUCUGCAUUAUGGAAUGUUUUGGAUGACAAGCUUGUAUUUGCAAAUGUACACACCCUGUGGGAGGUGCUCUGUACAUAC